rnacentral:rRNA from 1 species
AGAGUUUGAUCAUGGCUCAGGACGAACGCUGGCGGCGUGCUUAACACAUGCAAGUCGAACGGAAUCCAUGGUGUAGCAAUACACCGGAAGAUUUAGUGGCGAACGGGUGAGGAUCACGUGAGAAACCUGCCCCAGACUUUGGGAUAACAAUUGGAAACGAUUGCUAAUACCGAAUGACGUCGGAGAACCGCAUGGUUCACUGACGAAAGGAAAUCCGGUUUGGGAGGGUCUCGCGGCCUAUCAGCUUGUUGGUGGGGUAAUGGCCUACCAAGGCAACGACGGGUAGCUGGUCUGAGAGGAUGAUCAGCCACACUGGGACUGAGACACGGCCCAGACUCCUACGGGAGGCAGCAGUGGGGAAUCUUGCGCAAUGGGCGAAAGCCUGACGCAGCAACGCCGCGUGCGGGAUGAAGGCCUUCGGGCUGUAAACCGCUUUCAGCAGGAACGAAAAUGACGGUACCUGCAGAAGAAGGAGCGGCCAACUACGUGCCAGCAGCCGCGGUGACACGUAGGCUCCAAGCGUUGUCCGGAUUUAUUGGGCGUAAAGAGCUCGUAGGCGGUUUAGUAAGUCGGGUGUUAAAACUCUGGGCUCAACCCGGAGAGGCCAUCCGAUACUGCUGUGACUUGAGUUCAGGAGGGGAGCGGGGAAUUCCUAGUGUAGCGGUGAAAUGCGCAGAUAUUAGGAGGAACACCGGUGGCGAAGGCGCCGCUCUGGACUGAAACUGACGCUGAGGAGCGAAAGCAUGGGUAGCAAACAGGAUUAGAUACCCUGGUAGUCCAUGCCGUAAACGGUGGGCACUAGGUGUGGGUUCCAACUAACGGGAUCCGCGCCGUCGCUAACGCAUUAAGUGCCCCGCCUGGGGAGUACGGUC